rnacentral:rRNA from 1 species
UACAGAGGGUGCGAGCGUUAAUCGGAAUUACUGGGCGUAAAGCGUGCGUAGACGGCUAUCUAAGUCGGGUGUGAAAGCCCCGGGCUCAACCUGGGAAUUGCAUUCGAGACUGAAUAGCUAGGGUACGGUAGAGGGAAGCGGAAUUUCCGGUGUAGCGGUGAAAUGCGUAGAUAUCGGAAGGAACAUCAGUGGCGAAAGCGGACUUC